rnacentral:rRNA from 1 species
AGAGUUUGAUCCUGGCUCAGGACGAACGCUGGCGGCGUGCCUAACACAUGCAAGUCGAACGGAGAAUUUCAAAGUGUUUACACGGCGAAAUUCUUAGUGGCGGACGGGUGAGUAACGCGUGGGUAACCUACCCAUAAAGCCGGGACAACCCUUGGAAACGAGGGCUAAUACCGGAUAAUCUUAAGUUUUGGCAUCAGAAUUUAAGGAAAGAUGGCCUCUGCAUAUGCUAUCGAUUAUGGAUGGACCCGCGUCUGAUUAGCUAGUUGGUGGGGUAAAGGCCUACCAAGGCGACGAUCAGUAGCCGGCCUGAGAGGGUGAACGGCCACACUGGGACUGAGACACGGCCCAGACUCCUACGGGAGGCAGCAGUGGGGAAUCUUCCGCAAUGGACGAAAGUCUGACGGAGCAACGCCGCGUGUAUGAUGAA